GGGCCUGUAGCUCAGCUGGUUAGAGCGCUUGCAUGGCAUGCAAGAGGUCGGGGGUUCAAAUCCCCCCAGGUCCACCA
rnacentral:tRNA from 1 species